CAGCUACCAUGCAGUCGAGCGGAACGAGUUAUCAGAACCUUCGGGGGACGAUAACGGCGUCGAGCGGCGGACGGGUGAGUAAUGCCUAGGAAAUUGCCCUGAUGUGGGGGAUAACCAUUGGAAACGAUGGCUAAUACCGCAUGAUGCCUACGGGCCAAAGAGGGGGACCUUCGGGCCUCUCGCGUCAGGAUAUGCCUAGGUGGGAUUAGCUAGUUGGUGAGGUAAGGGCUCACCAAGGCAACGAUCCCUAGCUGGUCUGAGAGGAUGAUCAGCCACACUGGAACUGAGACACGGUCCAGACUCCUACGGGAGGCAGCAGUGGGGAAUAUUGCACAAUGGGCGCAAGCCUGAUGCAGCCAUGCCGCGUGUGUGAAGAAGGCCUUCGGGUUGUAAAGCACUUUCAGUCGUGAGGAAGGCGGUGUAGUUAAUAGCUGCAUCGUUUGACGUUAGCGACAGAAGAAGCACCGGCUAACUCCGUGCCAGCAGCCGCGGUAAUACGGAGGGUGCGAGCGUUAAUCGGAAUUACUGGGCGUAAAGCGCAUGCAGUGGUUUGUUAAGUCAGAUGUGAAAGCCCGGGGCUCAACCUCGGAAUUGCAUUUGAACUGGCAGACUAGAGUACUGUAGAGGGGGGGUAGA
rnacentral:rRNA from 1 species